CCCUUAGAUGUUCUGGGCCGCACGCGCGCUACACUGACGAAUGCAACGAGCUUAUAACCUUGGCCGAAAGGUCUGGGUAAUCUCCAAAUUUCGUCGUGAUGGGGAUAGAUUAUUGCAAUUAUUAAUCUUCAACGAGGAAUGCCUAGUAAGCGCAAGUCAUCAGCUUGCGUUGAUUACGUCCCUGCCCUUUGUACACACCGCCCGUCGCUCCUACCGAUUGAAUGGUUCGGUGAAGCGUUCGGACCGUGGCCUUUGGACGGUUCGCCGUCUGUUGGCUGCGGGAAGUUCGUUAAACCUUAUCAUUUAGAGGAAGGAGAANUCGUAACA
rnacentral:rRNA from 1 species